UACAGGUGCCUGGAAGCCAGAAGAGUCAUAUCCAACCGAAACUGGAGAUUCAGAUGGCUGUGAGCUCCCUGACAUAGGUACUGGGAAUGAAAUUUAGGUCUUCUGGAAGAGCAGUUAACUGCUUUUAACUGCCGAUCCACUUCCCAGCCCACCUCUCCCUGUCUUAGCACUAAAGAGCCAAGCGUAUAGAACAGAGAGAAUGCCCACGGCUGCAGAAAAUGUGCUGAGUUACAAAGACAAACCUGACAGAAUGACAGCAGACCCGUCAGCGGCGGUGUCCACGGCCAAGAUGGCUGAACAUUCCACACUUCAGAAUAAAAUAACUGCAACCAAGACUACUCUAUCCGGCAAAUCUGCCUUUUAGGACCGAAGGAGAAACAAAGACCCUCCACGAUAAUCAUCAAGUGAGAUGACUGAUCCAUGAAGUCUAAGAACAGCACAGCAGAAGACACUUAAUGGCUUCUGCACACAGAAGUAAGUCCGCACACGGGCAUGGGUGCUGGAGAAAGGAUGCAUCUCAAAGAGAAGGAGGUGGGAAGGACCGAUCAUCACUAACUCAGCCAGCAUCAAAGAUGGAGAUGGGAAACCCGCACACAUCUAAGUAUUAGCUGCAAACAUCCGUGGUUUUUUCUCCACAACCAAAAGACCCAGAUUGCCAGAACGGAUCCUAGGAUAAGAAACAAACAAAGGAAAAAACAAAAACCAAGAAGCACAAGAAACUCACAAAACACAAAAAAUCAAAACAAGCAAAAGACCAAUAGGACAAAAAAAAAAAAAAAAAUCCAAAAACAAACUGAAAGAAGCAAACAGAACCCUUGAGUUCAUUUUGUGUCCGCCUGUCACUCCUAGGCACUGCGCCUGCCUGAGAUGUAGUUGACAGACCCAGUGAUGCUCCACUGGAGAAAACCAAUUUUCCCUCCACCAACAGAGAAAAGUUACACAUAGUUUCUUGCUAGAAGUUGAAUCCCACGUCCACAUCCCCUCUGAGCUCCAGUCUGGCUUGAACCGGUACAGGUCUCCUAUGCGCUGCCCUCAUCUCUGCGUGCUGAUUUGCACAGCAGUCCUGUUGCGUCUGUUUCCUGGGAGUCAUGCAUCACCCCUGGUUCUUACGGUCUCUCUGCCUCCUCCUGCACACAGAUCCCUGAGCCUUGAGGUUUGAGGGAGAUCUGCCACUUAGGACCGAAUGCUCCAAAGUCAUACAGCUGUGGGUCUUUACAGUAACUCCCGCCCACUGCAAGAAAAAGCUUCUCUGGUGAAGGCUGGGCGAGGCACUGCUCUGUGGCUAUAGCAGCAUCUCUUCAGGAGUCAUCUAUUGCUUUGUUCUUUUGCUGACUAAUAAUAUUGAUUAACCAACUGAUCCUAUUAAGUUUUCCCUUAGGCCCAUGACUUUUUUGUCUGUCUGUCUGUCUGUCUGUUUUUUAAAUAGGGAUUCAUCCUGUAGUCCAGACAGGCUCCCAACUCUCAAUCCUCCAGGCCCCAAUGUGUCUCCAGUAUGGCUAUUAUGGGACCUUCCUUCUAUAUUUUCCUUGUCGAACAUUAAAGAAAAGGAGGGAAGAGGUAAGGAAACAAGAAUUGGUUCCAGAAAAGAGUCUCAGGUCAGAGACAAACAAACUGUCCUCCUCGAAGGCUCUUAAAUGUUGGACAGAAGUAAUUUUAAAAAAAAAGAUUUUAAAAA